UGCCCAGCAACUCCUAUCCCUACCUCCUCGCGGUACCGACCGGAAACUAUGAGCAACCUUAGGGAAGAUCGGGUAACCAACCCCGGUGGGAGCUUUGGUCGUAGGCUGACAGGGAAGG
rnacentral:ribozyme from 1 species